CUCGCCCGUCGCUGAAAUUGCUCCCCCCGUCCCCCGCACGAGAACCUGAUUUCUUCCGCCGCCUCGCCCCCUUCCCUCCGCCGCCGCCGUCCCUCCACUCUUCGGUGCCCGUCCUCGAUCCGGGGUCUCCAAAUUCGGACGAUAUUGGCAGGAUCCGCCACAUCUCCCGCGAAACCCAUCCGCGAGCUGCUCGUCGGCCAUGCGGGGAGCAUGGACGAGCUGCUCGUCGACGUCCAUCCCACACCCCCGUCGACGACGGUGCCCAGCCUCCUCGAUAGCGCGCCUCCUACUUGCCGCACGCCAGAUUUUAUAGUAGGGGAAGGAUGGAUACUGCAGGGCUUUCAUAUGUUUUUUUGAUUUUUGCGGAUAGGGCUUUCUUAUAUUCUGGCAAGAGUCAAGCUAGCAACCGUGAAGAUGCAGAAUUCAUGCAACCUCCAACCCUCAGCAAAGGGAAGAAGCCUCAGUUGGUAGCUAUGGAGGGGAGUGAUCCUUCGUUGGAUGAAAAAUUGGUGUAAAAAUUGGUUCUCCUCCCCCCGUGUCGCUGCCACCAUCGAUGCCGCAAGGUAUGUAUGCUUUUCUAGCUGCUUGGUAGCUUCAACUUGGUGAUGACGACUACCUAUGGAGUAAAGUUAAAGGUCCCGUGCUCCUGUUGUUCUUCAGGACUUUUUUUCUUUUGCUCAAACCAGCAUAAACUAUUCAGAGUUUUAACAGAGAAAAUUGGUCCUGUGCUUCCUCAUGAAAUACAAGAAAAGCUCAAUUGUUUAGAGGAAGAGUACUUCAGGAGCCACUCUUCAGCCAUUAAGUCAUAUAUCUCAGAGCUGGAUAUAGAUUUAACAGUGGGCAUGGUACCCCCCAGGGAUCCUUAUAUCCAGGUUUGGGUGCUGGAGGACUUUGGUGAAGUAUCUCUUGGUGACCAUUCCAUAUCAUUGACCAAAAUUUGCUCCACUUCCUUAGGCGCACAGAUGCAAAACAAUUUAUAUCACAUGUUUGCUAUCUGUUACGCUAUAUUUUCCCACUCUGAAAUCUUAAUAUUUCCAGUAAGAAUAAUAUUCUGUUUAAUUUUAAUAGGGUCUCAUGGAAGAAUUUCUGGAUUAGGGAUCACAUAUGAUGUAAAAUAGUCUGGUGGAAUAUGCACUCUUGAGGUUCUGAUCGAGACUAUGCGAAAAAGGAAAGAACAUAUGCUAUCUUCAGGGUGAACCUCUGGACCUCUCAAAUUAGAAGUAACCAGGAGCUGCGCAAAUUGAUGAAGCUGAAGUAGCGCAGUUUGUAGGAGAAGUUGGCCCAGUUUGGCCCCGACCACAUUUUUUGGGACACAUUUUGGCCCCAACCACAUUCUUUUCCUCGGCCAAAGUCGAUUUGUUCUCUAGAAAGAAAAUACACAAUUAGCGGCAGCAGCUACUAGUCGCCUGAGCUUGGACAGAGGGUGCCGAUACUCCUUGUGCAUCUGGACCAUGAUCUAUCCUUCGAUGAUUGGCCAAAUUUUCAAAGUUUGCCUGGUGGUAAUCCGUCGUGAUCCAAACCAACGGACACAAAAGGAAGUCACUCAUAUUCAUCGUGAUGCUCACGUCGUGGGAGAUUUGGAACGAGUGGAAUGCCUGCGGUUUUCCGGAACAUUUACACCUUGCCAACAACGAUCUUCGCAAAGAUCAAGCGUGAGGCGGCAUGUUGGGGCAAAACACUUGAGAUGAUCAUGCCACGAGAGUAAUUCCUUGCAUAUUAUUGUGCCCUCGGGCAAGUGUUGUAAUCGUAAAUCUUAUUAGUGAAAUGAGGCAAAGCUUUUUACCAUAAUUAAAAAAAUUAUCCGCAGCAGCAGCAGCAUACCUGAACAACAGCCCUGAGGUGACCGGUCCUGUUGUAAUUGUCUUCCUCGAUGAUAACCUCCCCUGACAAAGGAAGAAAUGAGGCCAAGCUUUGACAUUUAUUUAAAUUGGG